GGAGAAGUGGCGGAAUGGUAGACGCGGCUGUUAUGAAAAAAUAUAUCAUGUUUUGUGGUAUUAACAGCAAAUACUUUAGGCUUGGGGCCAGCUUCAUUGUGGGUUCAAAUCCCACCUUCUCCG
rnacentral:tRNA from 1 species